rnacentral:lncRNA from 1 species
CAGGCGUCAGAGGUAUAAAACAAACUUUUGUUUGUAAUUCCUUUUACCUAAUCAAUGCGAGGAGUCUCUCUUUCUCCACCACUCGUUUUGACAACUUUCGUUCCACGCUGGGUUUUUUGUUUUUUUGUUUUUGUUUGUUUUUGUUUUUGUUUUCCUCAAUCUGAAAGCGACUAUCUUUCGCUGAUGAGGCUUGGGGAGGGGACUAGGACGUGGGCGCUUCUCCUCCCCAGCCGUCGGUUCGCGGGAGCGGGAUGCUGGUCUUAACACUAGGGUUAUAUCGGUUUCUCACCGAACCGAGAUUUUAAAAUUCAGCUUUGCGAUUCAGGAUCCCACUGAAUUCCCCGGGACGAAAGCCUAGCGGCCAGGCUGCAUUUCGCCCCGGGUAUAAAUCCUUGCCGGAUAAAUUCAAAUCUGUAGCAGGGUUUUGGUAACAUGCACCUUAGCAACAAAACAAAAGCCAAGCUCGUAUGCCUCCCAAUUCUUUUCAAAAGGUGUACGGCAGUUGUGAAAGUUUUGUGGUGCUUAAGGAGACUGUUGACUUACGCAACUGGGGAGAGGGUUUUUUUAACCGCUUUGAGAUACUGAUCCAUCCUUUCUCUCUCAGAACGUCCUCAAGGGCACGUAAGAGUUGGAGGGGACCUCCGGGAGCGCCUAAUUUUGAGCCGCGGAACUUCUGCCCACCUCUCCGAGGGGACCAGGCGCGCGCCAACACGCAUGUGCGGGCUCUGCGCGCUCUCCGCGCGCUCGGUGCGCGCUUCUUCCUUCCCGGCUCCCCGCGGUGCGCACCACUCCCCGCUGGCCGCUCUGCGCACGCGCGCCGGAUGCCCCGGCCUAGGGCAGUUAACCUUCUCGGGUUCUCCCGGGCCCAGCCGAAUCCACCCCAGGGCCAGCAGGCCGGUGGCUGUCCUGCAGUCCGAGCGGAACUGCCACCUCGGGCAGCGGGAAGCCUGUGGGCUGCUGCUUCUCCAGCUCGAAAGGACCGCGUGGCUGUCAUCGUGGCGCUAAGACUGAGAUGGCAAUAACACCGAUGGCAGAACUGUACCAGUAUUAAUUGUCAUCACCUUUAUCAUCCCACCAAGGCCGUUCGAAUGGGGUGGGAAACGCUAGUUUUAGCCAGGAUCAGAAGCCCCAGUUCCAACUUCACAGACGAAGAACUGCAAAAGCCUACCAACGUGAAAGAUGAGUAAGGAUGCUUCAUGCACAUGCCAGGUGGGAUCAGG